rnacentral:rRNA from 1 species
GACGUAGGGCGCGAGCGUUGUCCGGAUUUAUUGGGCGUAAAGAGCUCGUAGGCGGUUUGUCGCGUCUGCCGUGAAAGUCCGGGGCUCAACUCCGGAUCUGCGGUGGGUACGGGCAGACUAGAGUGAUGUAGGGGAGACUGGAAUUCCUGGUGUAGCGGUGAAAUGUGCAGAUAUCAGGAGGAACACCGGUGGCGAAGGCGGGUCUCUGGGCAGUAACUGACGCUGAGGAGCGAAAGCGUGGGGAGCGAACAGG